GUGCUUGCUUCAGCAGCACAUACACUAAAAUUGAAACAAUACGGAGAAGAUUAGCAUGGCCACAGCACAAGGAUAACACACAAAUCUGUGAAGCAUUUCUUAUUUUU
rnacentral:snRNA from 1 species